rnacentral:miRNA from 1 species
AAUGUGACAUGCGACUAAAUAUCC